CAGCCCUUCCAAAUUGCAGAGAAGAUUGAGCUAGAAGUGUUUUCUUCCCCCAGAGCACACUGCUGAUAUUUCUUGGCUCAUCUCACUGAGACCAGACAUGGACCCCCUGCACACAGGGUCAUAGGAUUUGUUCAGCUGUGACCAAGAAUCUCCAGUUCUAUGGCAUAGUAGCUGAAAUGGAAAACUGCAUUUUUUACCUUGACAUCUCCUCCAUCCUAGUUUUUCAGGAUUGAUGAUUGGGGAGCCAAGAUGUGGAAGUAGCCCAAGUGUCCGUCCGUAGACGAGUGGAUACAGAAGAUGUGGAGAUACGUACGAUGGAAUGUUACUCAGCCAUAAGAAAGGAUGAAAUCUAGCCAUUGGCAACGACAUGAAUGGACCUUGAGGGUAUUAUGGUAAGUGAAGUAAGUCAGAUGGAAGAGGACAAAUUCUGUGUGGUUUCACUUAUAGGUGGAAUCUAAAAAACCAAACGAACGAACCAACAAAACGAAAACAAAUUCACAGAUAUAGAGGAUGGAGUGGUGGUUGCCAGAAGGGAAAGGGGUUGGGGGGUUGGACGAAAUGGGUAAAGAGCUCAGCUGUAUGGUGAAGGGCAGUAACUAGACUCUUUGUAGCGUAUACAAAUAUCGAGUUAUAAUGUUGUACACCUGAACCUUACAUAAUGCCGUAUACCAAUUUUACAUCAAUAAAAAAUAUGAAAUA